GCCUCAAUGGUGUAAUGGUAGCAUAUCAGGCUCAUGACCUGAAGGUAUUAGUUCGAUUCUAUUUUGAGGAU